CUCUUUGUGCACCCGCCCACACGGUUUGCCGUGUUUUCACCCUUCUUUGUUCUCCACCGGUCUGGGCAGGGUCUGAGGACUCCGGAGAGCAAGGCAUGGGUCCGCCUCGUGCCGCAGGUUCCUGGCCCACGCCAGCCGUACCCAGUAGCACAAUGGUAAGCGCAUGCUGGCGAGAGGGUGAGCUCUGAGGACUUCACAGGGGCCCCAUCCCCUCACCUAGAUGAGGGCUAACCUUGGAAUCCAGACAAAGGUGGAAGUGACCUAGAUGUGACCUGAAUGAGCUAAUCAUCUAAUGAGAGCCAGCCCUUUGUCCUGCCCACAUGAAGGGCUUUGCUGCUACGCACUGACAAGUUGGACGGCUUUUUAUUGCUUUGUUGCCAGUUAUCUGAACAUGAGAGGCUGUAAGGUGUAAUCUGCGAGCCCUGCGCCCAGACUGAACCAGGGCCUCCCUUGAACAUGAGUAUUAGACAAAUGAAAUAAGAACUUAUCUUGCCCAGACUAUAUAAUGGCUUGGAAAUGCAUAGUUUCCUGAACGAUCUCAAUAAAAUACUUUUAAAAGUACU
rnacentral:lncRNA from 1 species